CGCUCGCCCACCUGGAAAAGAAAGGGAGAUGAGGAGGAGGAGGAGGAAGAAAGGGAGAGGAGGAGAGCUGCCUGUGCAUGAGAGAUAAAAGAAAGAGAAAGGGAGGAGGAGAUAAGGUGGAGAAGAUAAGAAAGAGAGAGGAGGAGCGUGUGUGUGCCUUCCUUUUGUCCUAGUUGGAAAUUCCAACUGGGACACAAGUUGGAAUUCCCAACCAGGAUAAAAGGGGGACGUCGGUGCGAUAUUUUCUAGCCGCUACAACCGGGACUAAAGGGGUCUUUAGUCCCGGUUAGUAUUUACAACCGGGACUAAAGCUCCUCUCCCCGGUGGUCUUCGGGGGUACAUUUUUGACUCCGGACUAAAGCUAUUUUAGUCACUUGUCCAAUGUUAAUGGGGACUUAAAAGGGAUUGGAUGGUGUUUAUUACUCCUACGUCACAUUUCCAAUUCCCCUUUUGGAUAUAUCCAACGUGGCCAAAGCAAAUGACUCAGGGAAUUGGCCAUGUUGGUGCCACUGCAGCCGCGUCUACUCUGGUGCUGGACUAUUGAGGUUCCGGAGCGUGCUGAGAACGUUACCACGGAUACGAAGUUGAACCGAAUCACCCCUCGCCACAGCCACCCUAGGAGAUGAUGAGCUUGACACUCUCAUUAAGGGCACCAAGCAGAGGUGUCAUUCUACACUUCACAAGUCGUUGAUCAAAGAACUCCAAGGAGUAAACAUCAUUAGGGGGUUUGCAUCUUUAGUUUAACUAAACGUUUGUGCGCUCUUGUGCUGUAAGUCAUGGUCGUCGUGUGGGUUUUAGUUGAGCUGUCAGAUUGAAGUAAUCCAUAUGUGAGGAACAAUAUGGAAAUCCAUGUACACUUGUGUCGUAACUGUGUGGAACGAAAUGGGCUUCACACUUGUGAUGUAGUUUUGAAAGAAAACAAGUGUGUGACGUGAAGUGCGAAGGGCUUGUUGUGAAACACUAGAAUUAGUGAUGAAUUACUCUAAUUACUAAAUUAUUAGUUAAUAACAUCAUUAGCAACUGCUAAUGACAAGUUAUCGAAGGGGCCAUUUGGGAAGGGGCAUGUCCUUCCCGAACGGACACCUGCAUGCCCUUUGGGUAAGGAUGGCAAUAGGGCGGAUUCGGAUCGGGUGGAGUGUCUGGGCACCCAAAAUUAAAACCCAAACCUAAAACCCAAAUCCGCCCCAAACACUAAUUCGGGUGAAAAUCCAUCCCCAAAACCGAAAUCCAUGGAUACCCGAACCCGACGGAUUAACCGAAACCCGAGAAUAUUGCAAAAUCGGCAAGCUUGAACCUAAGUGAAUAUAGUCCCCUAAUGCAAAAUCGGCAAAAAUCAGAUCACUUGGAGCAAUGGUACGUCAACGAGGGUCUGAAUAAAACACACAUGCUCAACUGCUCAAGUGCGUUGAACUUAAGUUGCUCAUCACGAUUCCACAACUUAGAAACCUCCUCCCCCAUUGAAUCAAACUGCCGGACGGCGGAGGAGCAGGAGGCAGAGGAGUGGGCGGCGUCAAGGGAAGGGGCGACACGGCGUCCGUUGAGGGAAGGGGGUGGUGGACAUCAAGGGAAGGGGCGGCGGUCAUCGGGGGAAGGAGUGGAGCGGCGGCCGUUGAGGGAAGGGGGGCGGCCAUCAGGGGAAGGGGGCGGCGGUCAUCAAGUGAAGGCGGCGGCCAUCGAGGGAAGGGUUGGAGCGGCAGCCAUUGAGGGAAGGGGCGGAGCAGUGCCCGUCGAGGGAAGGGGGUGGUGGUCGUCGAGGGUAGCGGCGACCAUCUAGGAAAGGGGGUGGCUACCGUCGAGGGAAGGGGGCGGCGGCGGGGCAAGAGGAGGAUGAGGGCAACGGAAGCCCUCGAUGGGACGGUGGCGCUAGGUUGAGCAUGAGGGAGGUGAUGGGCGUGGGGACGAUAGAUGAGGAUGAGGCGGCGAUGGGCGCGGGGGUGACGGCGGGUGCGGGAGACCAGGAGUCGCGGCCCCGCGGUCGCGGGGCGGCGGGGACGCGAGGUGCGGGGGACCGGGGGUGCGUGGGUGCCGGGUGCGGGACGGAGGCGUUAUAUAGCUGGGGUUCGCUAGGUGGGCUUUAUGGGGCUCAAUGUUUCGGGGCCUGAUGGAGCUCCACGGGUGGAUUUAAGAAUCCGCCCCAAACUCGAAGUAUUUCGGGUAUCCGAACCCAAAAAACCGUGGAUGAAAACUAGGAAUCGAAACUGAAACCCGCGGACCCGAAAUCCACCCCGAACUCGAUCCGUUGCCAUCCUUACCUUUGGGCUUGUAUAUAUGUAUAACAGUACCCUUGUUCAAUCAAUUCAAUCUAUUCAACAUUUUCACUCUUCAACACGUUAUCAUACACUUGGUUUGAGCGCAAGAAGAAGAACAGAAGCCAGAGGGCCUUACCACCAGAGGGUAAGAUGGAUUUUGGACACUUACGCUUCAUUGCCAUAGAAAAUGUCUUCCUUGUUCUUCCUAUCGAUGGCCGGUGCUGGAACCAGGUAGAUGUCCAAGGUUUUGCUUUUGCAAUAGAGGCAGCAACUUCUUUGCACACCAUGGCCGCCGUCCUGCAAGAUGCCGUGGUCAUCGUUUUGUGGUGGCCAAGGCCGAGAUGCCGUGGUCGUCGUUUCGUGGUAGCCAAGGCCGCCGUGACUUCAUUGGACGGGGACGCUGGUCACCUCAGCGACGCAGUCCUCGCCGCACUCCACCACUAAGUCCAGGCCAGCGGCCUAGCCCUUCACAGCCUACAACACGUCAGGCACCGACGGCCAUAAGCAGUUCCACCAGUGCCUCCUCCGAGCGCACACGUACGGCUACAC
rnacentral:lncRNA from 1 species